rnacentral:rRNA from 1 species
GAUGACGAGUGGCGGACGGGUGAGUAAUGCUUGGGAACUUGCCUUUGCGAGGGGGAUAACAGUUGGAAACGACUGCUAAUACCGCAUAAUGUCUUCGGACCAAACGGGGCUUCGGCUCCGGCGCAAAGAGAGGCCCAAGUGAGAUUAGCUAGUUGGUAAGGUAACGGCUUACCAAGGCGACGAUCUCUAGCUGUUCUGAGAGGAAGAUCAGCCACACUGGGACUGAGACACGGCCCAGACUCCUACGGGAGGCAGCAGUGGGGAAUAUUGCACAAUGGGGGAAACCCUGAUGCAGCCAUGCCGCGUGUGUGAAGAAGGCCUUCGGGUUGUAAAGCACUUUCAGUUGUGAGGAAAAGUUAGUAGUUAAUACCUGCUAGCCGUGACGUUAACAACAGAAGAAGCACCGGCUAACUCCGUGCCAGCAGCCGCGGUAAUACGGAGGGUGCGAGCGUUAAUCGGAAUUACUGGGCGUAAAGCGCACGCAGGCGGUUUGUUAAGCUAGAUGUGAAAGCCCCGGGCUCAACCUGGGAUGGUCAUUUAGAACUGGCAGACUAGAGUCUUGGAGAGGGGAGUGGAAUUCCAGGUGUAGCGGUGAAAUGCGUAGAUAUCUGGAGGAACAUCAGUGGCGAAGGCGACUCCCUGGCCAAAGACUGAC